rnacentral:tRNA from 1 species
CCAAGCUUAACAACUUGGCUUUUUCA